UACGUAGGGGGCAAGCGUUAUCCGGAUUCACUGGGCGUAAAGGGAGCGCAGGCGGCAUGGCAAGUCUGAUGUGAAAACCCGGGGCCCAACCCCGGGAGUGCAUUGGAAACUGCCAGGCUGGAGUGUCGGAGGGGUAAGCGGAAUUCCUAGUGUAGCGGUGAAAUGCGUAGAUAUUAGGAGGAACACCAGUGGCGAAGGCGGCUUACUGGACGACUACUGACGCUGAGGCUCGAAAGCGUGGGGAGCAAACAGG
rnacentral:rRNA from 1 species